CCCGAAAGAUCGAUCGGGGAGAUUCACCGUCGGCGGAUGUUGGCUGCCGUGUGGGCGCGAUGGGUAGGCGGCUUGUUAACGCAAGUUUGUCGAUUUCACGAGUUCGCGCGGACGUCCGGGCACGUCGGCGUGCACUUCUCCCCCAGUAGAACGUCGCGACCCGCUGGGUGUUGGCCUACGGGGUCCGUGGCCGUAAGUCUGUUCGGCGGCGGCGUUUCGGCGUCCGUCGCCGGGCAGAGGCGCCCGGAUCAACGCCCCCGGCCAACCGCCCGGCGGUACACGCACGGUAUCGAGCCGCUUCAAUUGUCGUACAGCGUUCCGGCCCGUCGCAAGCCCGCUCGUGUAUGUCGUAUCGAAUCUUCGGAGGCGCGGACCCAGUGCCGUCCCCGAAGCCGAGCAGUUGUUGGCAGACGGUGUCCUCGAACAGGCUCACGUAGAAUUUCGAAAUUCGCGGUACCGGUCGGCGACGCUAUUGCUUUGGGUACUUUCAGGACCCGUCUUGAAACACGGACCAAGGAGUCUAACAUGUGCGCGAGUCAUUGGGACUCUGUGAAACCCAAAGGCGCAUUGAAAGAGAAGGUGCAGGUGCGUUUUUUCGAAAACGCUCCGGCCGAGGGAGGAUGGGCCUCGUCACGAUGGGGCUCCGCACUCCCGGGGCGUCUCUCGCGCUCCAUCGCGAGCCGAGGCGCACCAUGAGCGCACACGUUGGGACCCGAAAGAUGGUGAACUAUGCCUGGUCAGGACGAAGUCAGGGGAAACCCUGAUGGAGGUCCGUAGCGAUUCUGACGUGCAAAUCGAUCGUCGGAACUGGGUAUAG
rnacentral:rRNA from 1 species